rnacentral:rRNA from 1 species
CUUUUUUUCUGGUUGAGGGGUGGUCGGGGUUUUUAGGGUUUAAAAUUCGGCUCAGAUUGAACGCUGGCGGCAGGCCUAACACAUGCAAGUCGAGCGGAUGAAGAGAGCUUGCUCUCUGAUUCAGCGGCGGACGGGUGAGUAAUGCCUAGGAAUCUGCCUGGUAGUGGGGGACAACGUUUCGAAAGGAACGCUAAUACCGCAUACGUCCUACGGGAGAAAGCAGGGGACCUUCGGGCCUUGCGCUAUCAGAUGAGCCUAGGUCGGAUUAGCUAGUUGGUGAGGUAAUGGCUCACCAAGGCGACGAUCCGUAACUGGUCUGAGAGGAUGAUCAGUCACACUGGAACUGAGACACGGUCCAGACUCCUACGGGAGGCAGCAGUGGGGAAUAUUGGACAAUGGGCGAAAGCCUGAUCCAGCCAUGCCGCGUGUGUGAAGAAGGUCUUCGGAUUGUAAAGCACUUUAAGUUGGGAGGAAGGGUUGUAGAUUAAUACUCUGCAAUUUUGACGUUACCGACAGAAUAAGCACCGGCUAACUCUGUGCCAGCAGCCGCGGUAAUACAGAGGGUGCAAGCGUUAAUCGGAAUUACUGGGCGUAAAGCGCGCGUAGGUGGUUUGUUAAGUUGGAUGUGAAAGCCCCGGGCUCAACCUGGGAACUGCAUUCAAAACUGACAAGCUAGAGUAUGGUAGAGGGUGGUGGAAUUUCCUGUGUAGCGGUGAAAUGCGUAGAUAUAGGAAGGAACACCAGUGGCGAAGGCGACCACCUGGACUGAUACUGACACUGAGGUGCGAAAGCGUGGGGAGCAAACAGGAUUAGAUACCCUGGUAGUCCACGCCGUAAACGAUGUCAACUAGCCGUUGGGAGCCUUGAGCUCUUAGUGGCGCAGCUAACGCAUUAAGUGACCGCUCUGGAGACCCCCAUUUGGGA